rnacentral:rRNA from 1 species
UUCAAAGAGUCGAGUUGUUUGGGAAUGCAGCUCAAAAUGGGUGGUAAGCUCCAUCUAAAGCUAAAUAUUGGCGAGAGACCGAUAGCGAACAAGUACCGUGAGGGAAAGAUGAAAAGCACUUUGGAAAGAGAGUUAAACAGUACGUGAAAUUGUUGAAAGGGAAACGCUUGAAGUUAGUCGCGUCUUACUUGACUCAGCCUUGCUUCGGCUUGGUGUAUUUCAUGUGAGACGGGUCAACAUCGAUUUUGACCGGCAGACAAGGGGAGUAAGAAUGUGGCACUCUUCGGAGUGUGUUAUAGCUUAUUCUCAUAUGUGUCGGUUGGGAUCGAGGACCGCAGCGCGCCCUUGUGGCCGGAGGUUCGCCUCACGUUACGCGCUUAGGAUGUUGGCAUAAUGGCUUUAAGCGACCCGUCUUGAAACACGGACCAAGGAGUCUAACAUGCUCGCGAGUGUUAGGGUGGAAAAACCCUUGCGCANAAUGAAAGUAAAAGUUGGGGAACCUCCGCAAGGGGGCGCACCGACGCCCGGCCCAGAAGUUUACGGACGGUGCUGCGGUAGAGCGCGUAUGUUGGGGACCCGAAAAGAUGGUGAACUAUGCCUGAAUAGGGCGAAGCCAGGGGAAACCCUGU